rnacentral:rRNA from 1 species
CCUACGGGAGGCAGCAGUAGGGAAUCUUCCACAAUGGACGAAAGUCUGAUGGAGCAACGCCGCGUGAGUGAUGAAGGUUUUCGGAUCGUAAAACUCUGUUGUAAGGGAAGAACAAGUACGAGAGGGAAUGCUCGUACCUUGACGGUACCUUGCGAGAAAGCCACGGCUAACUACGUGCCAGCAGCCGCGGUAAUACGUAGGUGGCAAGCGUUGUCCGGAAUUAUUGGGCGUAAAGCGCGCGCAGGCGGCCUUUUAAAGUCUGAUGUGAAAGCCCCCGGCUCAACCGGGGAGGGUCAUUGGAAACUGGAAGGCUUGAGUACAGAAGAGAAGAGUGGAAUUCCAUGUGUAGCGGUGAAAUGCGUAGAGAUGUGGAGGAACACCAGUGGCGAAGGCGACUCUUUGGUCUGUAACUGACGCUGAGGCGCGAAAGCGUGGGGAGCAAACAGGAUUAGAUACCCUGGUAGUCCACGCCGUAAACGAUGAGUGCUAGGUGUUGGGGGGUUUCCGCCCCUCAGUGCUGAAGCUAACGCAUUAAGCACUCCGCCUGGGGGAGGACGGCCGCGAGACGNGACGUACGAAAGAAGUAGUACGGCGUGAGAGAGCGACGACGACGACGAGGGAGGAGG